rnacentral:rRNA from 2 species
GGGUUGUGAGGUUAAGCGACUAAGCGUACACGGUGGAUGCCCUGGCAGUCAGAGGCGAUGAAGGGCGUGCUAAUCUGCGAUAAGCGCCGGUAAGGUGAUAUGAACCGUUAUAACCGGCGAUACCCGAAUGGGGAAACCCAGUGUGACUCGUCACACUAUCAUUAACUGAAUCCAUAGGUUAAUGAGGCGAACCGGGGGAACUGAAACAUCUAAGUACCCCGAGGAAAAGAAAUCAACCGAGAUUCCCCCAGUAGCGGCGAGCGAACGGGGAGGAGCCCAGAGCCUGAAUCAGCAUGUGUGUUAGUGGAAGCGUCUGGAAAGGCGCGCGAUACAGGGUGACAGCCCCGUACACAAAAGCGCAUGUGCUGUGAGCUCGAUGAGUAGGGCGGGACACGUGGUAUCCUGUCUGAAUAUGGGGGGACCAUCCUCCAAGGCUAAAUACUCCUGACUGACCGAUAGUGAACCAGUACCGUGAGGGAAAGGCGAAAAGAACCCCGGCGAGGGGAGUGAAAAAGAACCUGAAACCGUGUACGUACAAGCAGUGGGAGCACCCUUCGGGGUGUGACUGCGUACCUUUUGUAU